rnacentral:rRNA from 1 species
CGUGUAGGUGGCUAAUUAAGUCAGGUGUGAAAUCCUUCCGCUUAACGGGAGAAGUGCACUUGAAACUGCUUAGCUAGAGUACGGGAGAGGAAGGUGGAAUUCCUGGUGUAGAGGUGGAAUUCAUAGAUAUCGGGAAGAACACCGGUGGCGAAGGCGGCCUUCUGGCCCGAUACUGACGCUGAGACGCGAAAGCGUGGGGAGCAAACAGGAUUAGAUACCCUAGUAGUCCACGCCGUAAACGUUGGGCACUAGGUGUGGGAGGUUUUUAUUCCUUCUUUGCCGAAGCUAACGCAUUAAGUGCCCCGCCUGGGGAGUACGGUCGCAAGGCUAAA